GGGGAAGUGUCGGAAUUGGCAGACGAGCGUGACUUAGGAUCACGUGGAGACAAUCCGUGAGAGUUCGAGUCUCUUCUUCCCCA
rnacentral:tRNA from 1 species